GGAGGGAUCAUUAUAGAGAAAACACUUAUAAAAAGUGAUGGGGCCUUUAUGGCUCUGUUUCUUUUUCAAACAAACGAUCGCAACUAUUGAAUGUUUUGGGGGGUUUGAUUGAGAGAGAGACAGCAAUGUCGCGCUCUUGAUCAAGAAAAAAAGUGCUUGCCUGAUAUUAUACAUGCCAUUGAUUUGGUUGGAGAAUAAUGUAAAUACAACUUUCAACAACGGAUCUCUUGGCUCUCACAUCGAUGAAGAACAUAGCAAAGUGUGAAAAUUAAUGUGAAUUGCAGAAUUCAGUGAAUCAUUGAGUUUUUGAACGCAUCUUGCACUUCUUGGUUAUUCCAAGGAGUAUGCCUGGUUGAGCAAUGUGAAUAUAUCUCAUCAAGAUCUGCCUUUUUUUGGGGUGUGAUUCUUGUUGGAAUUGAGUGUUUACCUUGUUUUCUUUCUUCGGUUAUAAAACAAGGUUCACUUGAAAUGAAGGAAAAAGUAAAACAACAAGGAGUGUUUGGCUGAUUGAAACAGACAAGCGGAUUGAUUUGGAAAGAAGCAGCUUGCUCUAUAACAACAAUGACUUGAUUAGUUGGUUGGUUUGGUGUGGGUUGAUUUGACAUGGGAAAAAAGUCUUGUUUAGAGCUGUUUUCUUGUUACUGCUCUGUCUUUUCAAACUAUAGCAUUAUAUAGCGUAAAAACUAUAUAUAAACAAGCACUAUACAAAACCUUGUUUUUGUUUUCUCUUUCAACAACUAGGAAAAAUCCCCCUGUGUAUAACAGGGAGAAAAACCUUAUUAUCAUUCUCAACUCAGGCAAGACUACCCGCUGAAUUUAAGCAUAUAAAUAAGCGGAGGAAAAGAAACUAACAAGGAUUCCCUUAGUAACGGCGAGUGAAGCGGGAAAAGCUCAACUUUGAAAUCUACCAAGAGUAAUAUUUUUGGUCGAAUUGUAGUUUCGAGAAAGAGUGGCUGAGAGAAGUCAGUUGGAUGCAAGUUCCUUGGAAUGAGACAUCAGAGAGGGUGACAAUCCCGUCUACCAUUCUUCUGUUGCUUCUCAUAAAGGCCCUCUUUUCAAAGAGUCGAGUUGUUUGGGAUUGCAGCUCAAAAUGGGUGGUAAAUUUCAUCUAAAGCUAAAUAUUGGUGAGAGACCGAUAGCGAACAAGUACCGUGAGGGAAAGAUGAAAAGCACUCUGAAGAGAGAGUGAAAAGUACGUGAAAUUGUUGAAAGGGAAACGCUUGAAACCAGUCAAGGUUUGUUAGAAUUCAGGAAAACUGUAUGCUCGGCAGGAUUGGCAGAGAGAUUGGCUUUUUUGUUGACUCCUCUGUUGAUUCUACGCUGUGGUUGCGCUUUCUGUACUUUUCUAAUAAACAAGUCAGCAUCAGUUUGGUGUUUGGGAAAAAGGUAACAGGAUUUGGUUGGGCUUUUAAUGGAUUUCGGUCCUUGGAGGCUCGAGCCUGCUUAUCCAUGAUACCGAACGCUAGACUGAGGACUGUAGUACGGGGCAUUGACUCGGAAUAGGUGGAUCUUGUGGUGCUAUCCUUGGUAAACAGCUUGCUGAUUAUCAAAGAUACGUACUCAAGACUCGCCAAAUCUGAGCUGGCUUCCGACUUUGGAUGUUGACGAAAUGGUUUUAAACGACCCGUCUUGAAACACGGACCAAGGAGUCUAACAUGGAUGCAAGUAUUUGGGUGAUUUGAAACCCAUAUGCGCAAUGAAAGUGACUUUUACCAGGGUAGGACAUUUCAGGCAUUUUUUUUGCCUGGGAUCGCACUAUCGACCAAUGUUGACUAGCUUCGGCUUGAUAGAUUUGAGUAAGAGCAUGUAUGUUGGGACCCGAAAGAUGGUGAACUAUGCCUGAAUAGGGUGAAGUCAGACGAAAGUCUGAUGGAAGCUCGUAGCGAUUCUGACGUGCAAAUCGAUCGUCAAAUUUGGGUAUAGGGGCGAAAGACUAAUCGAACCAUCUAGUAGCUGGUUCCUGC
rnacentral:misc_RNA from 1 species